rnacentral:rRNA from 1 species
AGAGUUUGAUCCUGGCUCAGAACGAACGCUGGCGGCAUGCCUAACACAUGCAAGUCGGACGCUUUUGGGGUUUCGGCCUCAAGGGAGUGGCGGACGGGUGAGUAGCGCGUGGGAACCUGCCCCUUUGUGGGGGAUAACCGAGGGAAACUUCGGCUAAUACCGCAUGCGCCCCGGAGCAAUCCGGGGGAAAGAUUUAUCGCAGAGGGAGGGGCCCGCGUCGGAUUAGGUAGUUGGUGGGGUAACGGCCUACCAAGCCUGUGAUCCGUAGCUGGUCUGAGAGGAUGAUCAGCCACACUGGGACUGAGACACGGCCCAGACUCCUACGGGAGGCAGCAGUGGGGAAUAUUGGACAAUGGGCGCAAGCCUGAUCCAGCAAUGCCGCGUGAGUGAUGAAGGCCUUAGGGUUGUAAAGCUCUUUCGGCGGGGACGAUGAUGACGGUACCCGCAGAAGAAGCCCCGGCUAACUUCGUGCCAGCAGCCGCGGUAAUACGAAGGGGGCGAGCGUUGUUCGGAUUUACUGGGCGUAAAGGGCGCGUAGGCGGCGGGUCAAGUCGAGUGUGAAAGCCCCGGGCUCAACCUGGGAGGUGCGCUCGAGACUGGUCUGCUUGAGUUCGGGAGAGGAGCGUGGAAUUCCCAGUGUAGAGGUGAAAUUCGUAGAUAUUGGGAAGAACACCGGUGGCGAAGGCGGCGCUCUGGACCGAGACUGACGCUGAGGCGCGAAAGCGUGGGGAGCAAACAGGAUUAGAUACCCUAGUAGUCC